rnacentral:rRNA from 1 species
AACGCUCGCGGCGUGCUUAACACAUGCAAGUCGAACGAACCUUCGGGUUAGUGGCGGACGGGUGAGUAACGCGUGAGAAUCUGCCCUCAGGAGGGGGACAACAGCUGGAAACGGCUGCUAAUACCCCAUAUGCCGCGAGAGUGAAAUGAAUUUCGCCUGAGGAUGAGCUCGCGUCUGAUUAGCUAGUUGGUGUAGGUAAUGGCUCACCAAGGCAUCGAUCAGUAGCUGGUCUGAGAGGAUGAUCAGCCACACUGGGACUGAGACACGGCCCAGACUCCUACGGGAGGCAGCAGUGGGGAAUUUUCCGCAAUGGGCGAAAGCCUGACGGAGCAACGCCGCGUGAGGGAUGAAGGCCUCUGGGCUGUAAACCUCUUUUAUCAAGGAAGAAGAUCUGACGGUACUUGAUGAAUAAGCCACGGCUAAUUCCGUGCCAGCAGCCGCGGUAAUACGGGAGUGGCAAGCGUUAUCCGGAAUUAUUGGGCGUAAAGCGUC